rnacentral:lncRNA from 1 species
AAUCUACAAAAAGAACUUAGAAAAAAAAAGUCAUUUAAAAUAAAUUUUAGUGGGGGGGCCGCAUAUGUACAUAUCAGUCCGCCAACUCAUACAAACCCCAUUUGUUUAAAAUGGUAGGUAAACAGAAACUACUUAUCUUUUGACAGUCAAAUUUACAACUUUUUAAUAAUAUUGCGGCCAUUGAAAAUCUGAAGUCUUUAGGUGGAACUCAUGAAAUAAGAGAGGGAGAGAAUCUUGGGCUCUAAAGUACGACAAAUACACACACGUCACAUUAUUUC